UACGUAGGGUGCGAGUGUUAAUCGGAUUUACUGGGCGUAAAGGGUGCGUAGGCGGCCAAAAAGUACUGAUGUGAAAUCUUGGAGCUCAACUCCGAAACUGCAUUGGAUACUGGUUGGCUCGAGGAAUGGAGGGAGACGUGGAAUUCUCGGUGUAGCAGUGAAAUGCGUAGAUAUCGAGAGGAACAUCAGUGGCGAAGGCGAGUCUCUGGACAUUUCCUGACGCUGAGGCACGAAAGCCAA
rnacentral:rRNA from 1 species